rnacentral:lncRNA from 1 species
GAGUUGGCAUAUUCUUCCACCCAACUGUUGUCGAGUCCAUUAGAUGUAUAUCGUAGAAGUCAAUACGGCUGACAUAUUGUAAUAAAUCUAGGAUAUAAUUUUAUACUUAAUAUAUUGAUUUGAUCAAUAAAAGAGCAAGUUUAAUUUUUAUUCAAGGGUGAUGUAUCUUUGAAUCAUCCAUGAAAUUAAUACUUCGAUAAAUAUUC